rnacentral:tRNA from 19 species
GGGUGAUUAGCUCAGCUGGGAGAGCACCUCCCUUACAAGGAGGGGGUCGGCGGUUCGAUCCCGUCAUCACCCACC